AAAAGAUGAGGAGGGUCUGAAAAAGAAACAAGGGGUUUCAAGACUGUUUAAAAGGAUUCCAUUUGGUGAAUUUCCACCCCGACCAUCGCACACACGCAAGCACACAUACACGCCGGAGCCUCCUUUCCCCUCUAAGUCUGGGAAACUUAAUGGCACCAAAAGUAUGAAAUUCUUGGGGUUCUGGAGAUAUAAUUUUGCCCCCAAACUUUGAAGAAACUCCUUCGCUGUGACAGCAGAAAAUGGCAAAUCCUGAUGAGAGAAUGGCUGAGUCACUGUUGUGUAUGAGAAAGAAAGGGAGAUGGGAUGAAACAAAGGAAAACAUCCUCCAGGAGAUCUGCUCUUCGAUGUCUUUGAAAGGAAGGCGACUAAGGGACCAAGAUAUUUGUGGAUGUCACUUUCUUCCACUGAUUCAAACUGACCACUGGGAGAAGAUGAGAUGUACUUUUUCCUGUCCUUCCAUGGGGUUCAUUUCUCCUAUCAGAAGAGAAGGUUCUGCCCCUGUUGGGAAGAAGGGCCAGAGGUGGGAAAGAACAUGAUGUAUGUCUUCAAAAACUUGAAAGUCUGUCAAGUGGAAGAGGAAUGACGUUUGCUCUGUUUGGUCAUCGAGGGCAGAGGUAAAGUGGCAAAGUGGCAGAUGUAAGCCUGACAUUAAAGAAACAUGCCCUAACCCUAGCAAAGCCUCCCUGAAAGGUGCCGAGUUUCCCACCUUAGAAGGUGGCAAGUUUUCCAGCACCGGAGCUCUUCACACAGCAUCAGAUGAUUAUUGAUUGGGACUUCUUCUGGUGCUAAGGAUUUGACCAAAUGCUCCUUGACAUCCCUUCCCAGUCUAAAGGUCCCAUUCUGAAUAAAGCUUUUCCAUCAGCCACACUUUUCAGAUAAAUAACCCUCUCAAGCGACGAUAGGACUUUACAAACAUUUAACCACUUUGAAUGGAAACCCUUCUUAUAACAACAUAAAAAAUAACCUUUUCUCAAUGACUUGGGGUCAUUUUUGACAAUUGCUAUGACAGUAGUUGUCCUAUUUCCUUCCUGAUGGUUCCCCUCCCCAUACCUGCCUCUGAUUUGCUAAUCUAGAUUGUUAGGGUUCUAUAUAUCCAGGCGGUAAACUAAGAGGAAAAAAAAUUAAAGGAUAAUCUGGGGGUGUAGGGAGCACCCUGGUG